GUCUUCUGGGAAAGAUUCAUCGGUAUGGGAUGGGGUCGCGUCCUAUCAGCUUGAUGGCGGGGUAACGGCCCACCAUGGCUUCGACGGGUAGCCGGCCUGAGAGGGCGACCGGCCACAUUGGGACUGAGAUACGGCCCAGACUCCUACGGGAGGCAGCAGUGGGGAAUAUUGCACAAUGGGCGCAAGCCUGAUGCAGCGACGCCGCG
rnacentral:rRNA from 1 species